AUUGAACGCUGGCGGCAUGCCUUACACAUGCAAGUCGAACGGCAGCACGGGGCAACCUGGUGGCGAGUGGCGAACGGGUGAGUAAUGCAUCGGAACGUACCUUUCAGUGGGGGAUAACGUAGCGAAAGUUACGCUAAUACCGCAUAUUCCGUGAGCAGGAAAGCAGGGGAUCGCAAGACCUUGCGCUGAUUGAGCGGCCGAUGUCAGAGUAGCUAGUUGGUGAGGUAAAGGCUCACCAAGGCGACGAUCUGUAGCGGGUCUUCGAGGAUGAUCCGCCACACUGGAACUGAGACACGGUCCAGACUCCUGCGGGAGGCAGCAGUGGGGAAUUUUGGACAAUGGGGGCAACCCUGAUCCAGCCAUGCCGCGUGAGUGAAGAAGGCCUUCGGGUUGUAAAGCUCUUUCGGCCGGGAAGAAUCGCACGGGCUAAUACCCUGUGUGGAUGACGGUACCGGAAUAAGAAGCACCGGCUAACUACGUGCCAGCAGCCGCUGUAAUAC
rnacentral:rRNA from 1 species